rnacentral:rRNA from 1 species
UACGUAGGGGGCAAGCGUUGUCCGGAUUUAUUGGGCGUAAAGAGCGUGUAGGCGGCUUUACAGGUCCGUUGUGAAAACUCGAGGCUCAACCUCGAGACGCCGGUGGAAACCGUAAAGCUAGAGUCCGGAAGAGGAGAGUGGAAUUCCUGGUGUAGCGGUGAAAUGCGCAGAUAUCAGGAAGAACACCCGUGGCGAAGGCGUCCAUCUGGCCCGAUACUGACGCUGAGGCGCGAAAGCUAGGGGAGCGAACGGG